rnacentral:misc_RNA from 1 species
AAAAAAAAUAGUGGGGGAAAAAGUGGUUUAAAGAUUAAGCUCAGUUCUUAGUUACUGAAAUUAGUUUAGCUCUAUUUUUUUCGCUGCUAAUUGGUAUGGAAAUAACCAGAAUCAAUGUAAUUAUUUUUUGGCGGGGAGGGGAGCUGCGGUCACCGUGUGGAGAUGGGAUUUGAUCUAAUUUUGUAAUGCUAGGCCUUCAUUCAUUUGCUAUUGCCUUUCUUUGUUGCUGGGUUUGAUCUAGAUGUUUUUGGUUUUUACCGUUUUCUUUUAACGAGGUGUGGUAUAUAUCAUCUGAAUUACACUCAUGAUUCAUUGAAUUCCAUGAUGCUAAAAUGUUGAUUACCAAUGCAUGGAAUUAUUGGAUAUGUAUGGUAGCUAUCUGUCAAUACUGUGCUCUAGAGGAGGUUUUUAUGCAUUCGCAUGUUUCCCUUCUAAUGGAAGAUUUCAGUUCUUAACGUUGAAGGACUAGUUGGAAUCUUUUUGAUUAACAUUGAAUUGGAUUUUAUUGAACUAAUUGGCUGAACCUUGUGAUGGCUUCUGUGGUAUGUGUGUCAGCUGAACAUUGACUUCUAGUUUUCAAAUGUGUAAAAAAAUUUGCAGCUAUCAUUUUGACGUAGGAUUAUCAGAUUGCAUAGACUUUGCUUUGCUGUAAAUUUGGUAAAGAAGGAUUGAGUUUGGGGUUUUCAAAUAAGUGGAUGAUAAAUAAAUAUGUUUGAAAGAUGUAGUACCAUAAAAAAUUAGUAUUGAAAUUGCAAGUUGGGACGCGAAUAUUAUCAUGUUAGAAAAAAUCAUUUAGAGCUGUGAAAAUUCCUUUAGAAUCUUCUCAUGUGAUGGUCAUUUUGAGGCUAGCUGUAUCACAGUUUAAGGGUUUUGAAUUGCAAGAAGAUAACAAGGUAAUAACAAGAGAAUUUAUUUAAUUGUUAGCAUUGUUUUCUAUCCUAUUGAUUAAGGUUAGUGCUUGGUAAUGUGUAGUUGCAUUAAGGUGGACAUUUUGUUUUUGAUAUGGAUUAUUAUGAAGUUUAGAAAAAGAACUAUCAAAUUAAAGCUUGUUCUGUGAUCUCCAGAAUGUGCACCAGGGUUAUCCAAAUGAAACAUUAGUUCGAUUUCUCAAAGCAAGAGAGUGGAAUGUUGCCAAGGCCCAUAAAAUGUUGGUUGAUUGUUUACAAUGGAGAAUACAAAAUGAGAUUGAUAACAUAUUGGCGAAACCAAUCAUUCCAGCUGAGUUAUAUAGAGCAAUUCGAGAUUCGCAGCUUGUAGGAUUAUCAGGUUACACUCGAGAGGGUCUUCCUGUCAUUGCCAUUGGUGUUGGGCUCAGCACAUUUGAUAAAGCAUCCGUAAGGAUUUUGUAACUUUAUUAUGUAUUUAUUGUAUUUAAAUUUGACAGUAAAAAAUUUGCAUUAACAUCACCUGGGUCCUUUUUCUUAUGUACAAGUGUGAAUGGAUUGGGACAGUGUAUUAGAUGCUUGUUGCAGAGUAAAUUUGUUUUGUGGUGUAUCUGAGAGACAGAGAGCGAUAGAGAGGGACUGUUACAUGGGAGUGCAAAUUGUAACAGGAUUUUCUUUUAGCUUGAGACUUGGAUGACUUGAUAAUUCGUAUGAUCGUAUCUGUUGAUCUAUGGACUGACAGUGAUCCUCUUUUUGUGUCUCCUUUUCCUUUAAGCGAUAUCUACUUAUUAUCUCUUCUUUUUUUUGUACGCUUUAG